CGCCAGUGAUGGAUCGGCGAUAUGAAUGGCCAAUCCGGUAGGCACCAACGUCGUUGCGCCAGGCGCCAGUUCUACGGCGUCGUCGAGACAGGCGCGCAGGUCAAGCCCGGCAGAACCAGAAGUAGCAAGCGGACCUCAUAAAGUGCGUCGUAGUCCGGAUUGGAGUCUGCAACUCGACUCCAUGAAGUCGGAAUCGCUAGUAAUCGUGGAUCAGAAUGCCACGGUGAAUACGUUCCCGGGCCUUGUACAC
rnacentral:rRNA from 1 species